rnacentral:rRNA from 1 species
CCAUGUGUGAACGUAAACGUAUCUUGUAAUUAAGAUAAGAGAUAUGCUGCUUUGGUAGUUGGGGGAGUUCCCCUUCUAUAAGGUUUUCUUUUCCCACUACCAGCAGUAUAAUUCUUCUUUUUUUUACCACUAAAAACUCUUUUUUUAUUUUUUGUUAGAAAUUUGAUUUCAUUGCUGAGUGGCAUAAACUAUAAAAGUUAAAACUUUCAACAACGGAUCUCUUGGCUCUAGCAUCGAUGAAGAACGCAGCGAAAUGCGAUAAGUAAUGUGAAUUGCAGAAUUCAGUGAAUCAUCGAAUCUUUGAACGCACAUUGCGCCUGGCAGUAUUCUGCCAGGCAUGCCUGUCCGAGCGUCAUUUCACCACUCAAGAACUGUUUUUUUUUCUUGGUGUUGGAGGUCCUGUUCUUCACUGAACAGGCCGCCGAAAUGCAUCGGCUGUUCUACUUGCCAGCUCCCCUGUGUAGUACAAAAUUUUUACAAUUUUUACACUUUGAAGCUCUUGUUCAACAUGCCGCUAAAAAAAAACCCUCUGUAUUCAACUUCUGUUGGAAACUAAUUUUUUUUUUUUUACAAGGUUGACCUCGGAUCAGGUAGGAAUACCCGCUGAACUUAAGC